GACGAACGCUGGCGGCGUGCUUAACACAUGCAAGUCGAACGGAAAGGCCCUGAUCUUGUGGGUUUCUCGUGUGCCGAACGGGUGAGUAUAACGUGAGUAUACUGUCCCUGACUUUGGGGUAAAUUUAGGAAGAUCGGGCUAAUACCCGGUAGAAUCUCUUGCUGCAUGUUGGGGGUUGGUAAGUUUCGGUGGUUGGGGAUGGUAUCGCGGGUUAUCAGCUGGUUGGUGGGGUAUUGGAUUCACAGGGGUUCGAAGGGUAGUCUGCCUUGGAGGGUUACCGGCCACAUUGGGCCUGAGGUACGGACCAGACUCCUACGGGAGGCAGCAGUCGGGAAUAUUGCACAAUGGCCGGAAGCCUGAUGCAGCAACGCCGCGUUCGGGAUGACGGCCUUCGGGUUGUAAACCGCUUUCGCCUGUACCGAAGCGUGAUUGACGGUAAUGGGUAAAGAAGCACCGGCUAACUACGUG
rnacentral:rRNA from 1 species